AGCGAACGCUGGCGGCAGGCCUAACACAUGCGAGUCGAACGAACCUUUCGGGGUUAGUGGCGGACGGGUGAGGAACACGUGGGAACGUGCCCUUAGGUUCGGAAUAACUCAGGGAAACUUGUGCUAAUACCGAAGGUGCCCUUCGGGGGAAAGAUUGAUGGCCUUUAGAGCGGCACGCGUAUGAUGAGCUAUUUGGUCCAGGUAAUGGCGCACCAAGGCGACGUUGAGUAGCUGGUCUGAGAGGAUGGUCAGCCACAUUGGGACUGAGACACGGCCCAAACUCCUACGGGAGGCAGCAGUGGGGAAUGUUGAGCACUGGGCGAAAGCCUGACGCAGCCAUGUCGCGUGAAUGAUGAAGGUGUUAAGAUUGUAAAAUUCUUUAACAGGGGACGAUAAUGACGGUACCCGGAGAAGAAGCCCCGGCUAACUUCGUG
rnacentral:rRNA from 1 species